ensembl:lncRNA
AAAAGUUUUCACUCCUCCGUCCGGCUGGCAGGGGACAUCACUUGAGACGAGAUCCCCAGAAGGAGCAGGUCGAGGGGAGGAGGAGGAGAGGUGGAGGAGGAGGAGGAGAAGAGGGAAGAGAAGAGAGGAGAAGAGAAGGAAAAAGGGCAGGGGGUCAGAGAAGGAUCCGGGUGGGGGGGCUCCUAAUACUAUUCAGACCCGGCUAUCCACACGCUGCAACAAGUCGAAUCCCCGCCCUGCCCCCUAACACAUUAAAAUUCAUUUUUUUCUUAAAAAAGAGAAAGAUAGAGAGAAGUGGAUCUCCUCAUGGCUCCCUAAAAGUUUUGAUUUCCCAGGAUCUUUUUGGUGCUUUGGGCUUCCAGCUCUUUGGCCAAGUGCCCCCUUCACAAAACUGCCCCGCGGCCCCGGGUGAACGUGAGCAUGGACGCCCACACACGGUGGAAACGGCGAAGCUGGAUACGCGACUGCCCGCUCCUGGUCGCCACCUUCCUCCUCUCCGCCCUCUGGCCAAGCCAUGCAGCGCAACCAGCAGAUCUCUUAAAGGUAUUAGAUUUCCACAAUUUGCCUGAUGGGAUAACAAAAACAACAGGUUUCUGUGCAAGCAGAAAAUCUUCCAAAGGACCAGAUGUUGCUUACCGAGUUACAAAAGAUGCUCAACUCAGUGCACCCACCAAGCAGCUGUAUCCUGCUUCAUCAUUUCCUGAGGACUUCUCCAUUCUAACCACUGUAAAAGCCAAAAAAGGCAACCAGGCCUUCCUGGUCUCCAUUUAUAAUGAGCAGGGGAUCCAACAGAUUGGCCUGGAGAUGGGCAGGUCUCCCGUCUUCCUCUAUGAGGACCACAUGGGGAAACCUGGACCAGAGGACUAUCCACUCUUCAGGGGCAUUAAUUUAUCAGAUGGCAAGUGGCACAGAAUAGCUAUUAGUGUUCAAAAGAAAAAUGUGACUUUGGUAUUGGACUGUAAAAAGAAGACAACCAAGUUCUUGGACCGGAGUGACCACCCCAUCAUUGAUGUCAAUGGGAUCAUUGUAUUUGGCACCAGGAUCCUGGAUGAGGAAGUGUUUGAGGGUGAUAUCCAGCAGCUCCUUAUCAUCCCUGACGCCAGAGCGGCUUAUGAUUACUGCGAACAUUACAGCCCUGAUUGUGAUACUGCUGUUCCAGACACCCCACAGUCUCAGGACCCCAACCCAGAUGAAUAUUAUCCAGAAGGAGAGGGAGAUGGUGAGACAUAUUACUAUGAAUAUCCGUACUAUGAAGACCCUGAUGACCCAGGAAAAGCCCCGACCCCCACCAAAAAGCCUGUUGAAGCUGCUAGAGAAGCCACAGAAAUUGCUGAGGAGCAGACUCCUCCCCCGACAGAUGCACCACCAGUUCCUGAAACCAACGAAAGUGAUGAUAAGGAGGACCCAAACCUGGGAGGGAGUGACUACGAGUAUGGACCCAUCAACGAGGAAUACUACACACCACCCCCUUAUGAGGAUAUCUAUGAGAGUGUUGACAGCCCUGAUCAGCCCACCGACACUGUUGGAGGCGCCGAGAUUCCCACCAGCACUGUUAUCAUCACCAACUCCACCAAUCCAUUUCCAGACCCAGAUCAAGGCAGAGAUGACAUAGACAAUGAUUUUGCUGUGGAAACUAUUAAGGACCUUGAGAAUUACUAUGAUCCCUAUUUUGAUCCCACCAUCUCCCCAUCAGAGAUUGGACCAGGGAUGCCUGCAAACCAAGAUACAAUCUAUGAAGGGAUUGGAGGACCCCGAGGUGAGAAAGGACAAAAGGGAGAGCCUGCAAUCAUUGAGCCGGGAAUGCUUAUUGAAGGCCCCCCUGGCCCAGAAGGUCCUGCUGGGCUUCCAGGACCUCCAGGGACUGCUGGACCAACAGGUCAAGUGGGUGAUCCUGGAGAGAGGGGUCCUCCUGGCCGCCCAGGCCUUCCUGGAGCUGAUGGUUUGCCAGGACCUCCAGGGACCAUGCUUAUGUUGCCUUUCCGAUUUGGAGGGGGCGGUGAUGCAGGGUCAAAAGGACCAUUGGUCUCAGCCCAGGAGUCACAAGCCCAAGCCAUUCUACAACAAGCCAGGUUGGCACUCAGGGGUCCAGCAGGCCCAAUGGGUCUUACCGGGAGACCAGGUCCUGUGGGUCCUCCUGGAAGCGGUGGUUUAAAGGGAGAGACAGGAGAUAUGGGACCUCAGGGUCCUCGUGGUGUCCAAGGCCCGCCUGGACCAGCAGGAAAGCCUGGGAGAAGGGGACGAGCUGGGAGUGAUGGUGCUAGGGGAAUGCCUGGACAAACUGGACCCAAGGGUGACCGUGGUUUUGAUGGAUUGGCUGGUUUGCCUGGAGAGAAGGGACAUAGGGGUGAUCCUGGUCCUUCAGGCCCCCCAGGUUCUCCAGGAGAUGAUGGUGAAAGAGGUGAUGACGGAGAGGUUGGACCCAGAGGUCUGCCAGGAGAGCCUGGACCUCGUGGUUUGCUUGGACCAAAGGGCCCACCUGGCCCACCUGGACCCCCUGGUGUGACGGGUACGGAUGGACAAACUGGCCCAAAAGGAAAUGUGGGUCCUCAGGGUGAACCUGGCCCCCCAGGACAACAGGGUAAUCCAGGUGCCCAGGGUCUUCCAGGUCCUCAGGGUGCAAUUGGUCCACCAGGAGAAAAAGGCCCCUUAGGUAAACCUGGGCUUCCAGGAAUGCCUGGUGCAGAUGGACCUCCUGGACAUCCUGGCAAAGAAGGCCCUCCAGGGGAGAAAGGUGGUCAGGGCCCACCUGGUCCCCAGGGUCCAAUUGGAUAUCCGGGCCCUCGAGGAGUCAAGGGGGCAGAUGGCAUCCGUGGUUUGAAAGGCACCAAGGGUGAAAAGGGUGAAGAUGGCUUUCCUGGAUUUAAAGGUGACAUGGGCAUUAAGGGAGACCGAGGUGAGAUUGGGCCACCUGGACCUAGAGGAGAAGAUGGCCCAGAAGGCCCAAAAGGUCGUGGUGGUCCUAAUGGGGACCCAGGUCCCCUUGGUCCUGCCGGAGAAAAGGGAAAACUUGGAGUCCCAGGUUUACCAGGCUACCCUGGAAGACAAGGUCCAAAGGGUUCUAUUGGAUUUCCUGGCUUCCCUGGAGCAAAUGGAGAGAAGGGUGGAAGGGGAACACCUGGAAAACCAGGACCAAGAGGGCAAAGAGGUCCAACGGGCCCACGUGGUGAAAGAGGUCCAAGAGGGAUCACUGGCAAACCUGGACCUAAGGGCAACUCUGGUGGUGAUGGCCCAUCUGGUCCUCCUGGAGAACGGGGACCUAAUGGACCUCAAGGACCCACAGGAUUUCCCGGACCAAAGGGCCCUCCUGGUCCUCCAGGGAAGGAUGGACUUCCUGGGCACCCUGGACAGAGAGGUGAAACUGGCUUCCAAGGCAAGACUGGUCCUCCAGGUCCUCCAGGUGUUGUUGGCCCCCAGGGCCCCACUGGAGAAACUGGCCCAAUGGGAGAACGUGGUCAUCCUGGCCCACCUGGCCCUCCAGGUGAGCAAGGUCUUCCAGGCCUUGCUGGAAAGGAAGGAACUAAGGGUGAUCCAGGCCCUGCUGGCAUCCCUGGGAAAGACGGUCCUCCGGGGUUGAGAGGAUUCCCUGGUGAUAGAGGUCUCCCUGGCCCAGUGGGAGCCCUUGGAUUGAAAGGCAAUGAAGGUCCUCCUGGUCCCCCAGGUCCAGCGGGAUCUCCAGGUGAAAGGGGCCCAGCUGGUGCUGCUGGACCAAUUGGCCUUCCUGGCAGACCUGGACCCCAAGGACCACCUGGGCCUGCUGGUGAGAAAGGUGCCCCUGGUGAGAAAGGUCCUCAAGGGCCAGCUGGCCGAGAUGGAAUUCAAGGUCCCGUAGGGCUCCCUGGCCCAGCAGGUCCUGUGGGGCCCCCUGGAGAAGAUGGAGAUAAGGGUGAGAUUGGAGAGCCAGGGCAGAAGGGAAGCAAAGGAGACAAAGGUGAACAGGGCCCACCAGGUCCUACAGGUCCUCAAGGCCCCAUUGGACAGCCUGGCCCCUCGGGAGGUGAUGGAGAGCCAGGUCCACGGGGCCAGCAAGGUCUUUUUGGUCAGAAAGGUGAUGAAGGUCCAAGAGGUUUUCCUGGUCCCCCAGGGCCAGUUGGAUUGCAGGGCUUACCAGGACCCCCAGGUGAGAAAGGAGAAACUGGAGAUGUUGGUCAGAUGGGCCCUCCUGGUCCCCCUGGUCCCCGAGGACCAUCUGGCCCUCCAGGAGCUGAUGGUCCCCAAGGUCCUCCAGGAGGAAUAGGAAAUCCUGGAGCAGUGGGAGAAAAGGGCGAGCCUGGUGAAUCUGGAGAACCUGGCCUUCCAGGUGAAGGUGGUCUCCCGGGACCCAAAGGAGAAAGAGGAGAAAAGGGUGAAUCGGGUCCAUCCGGUGCUGCAGGACCUCCUGGGCCCAAAGGCCCUCCUGGUGAUGAUGGACCGAAAGGAAGCCCUGGCCCUGUUGGUUUCCCUGGUGAUCCUGGUCCCCCUGGAGAACCUGGUCCUGCGGGUCAAGAUGGUCCACCAGGUGAUAAAGGAGAUGAUGGUGAACCUGGUCAAACUGGAUCCCCAGGCCCUACUGGUGAACCAGGGCCAUCUGGACCUCCAGGCAAAAGGGGUCCUCCUGGACCAGCUGGCCCUGAAGGAAGACAAGGAGAGAAAGGAGCCAAGGGUGAAGCUGGCUUGGAGGGCCCACCUGGAAAGACUGGUCCAAUUGGUCCCCAAGGUGCACCAGGCAAACCUGGUCCUGAUGGCCUUCGAGGGAUUCCAGGCCCGGUGGGAGAACAAGGUCUACCAGGAUCUCCUGGCCCAGACGGUCCCCCUGGUCCCAUGGGUCCCCCAGGCCUUCCAGGUCUGAAGGGAGAUUCAGGUCCCAAAGGUGAAAAGGGUCAUCCAGGUUUGAUUGGUCUUAUUGGACCUCCUGGCGAACAGGGUGAAAAAGGUGACCGAGGUCUUCCCGGACCUCAGGGUUCAUCAGGUCCUAAAGGAGAACAGGGUAUAACUGGUCCUUCUGGUCCCCUUGGUCCCCCUGGACCUCCCGGUUUACCAGGCCCUCCUGGUCCCAAAGGUGCUAAAGGUUCUUCGGGUCCAACAGGUCCCAAAGGAGAGGCUGGCCACCCUGGGCCUCCUGGUCCACCUGGUCCUCCAGGUGAAGUCAUUCAGCCAUUGCCCAUUCAGGCUUCUAGGACCCGACGGAACAUUGAUGCCAGUCUGCUGCUUGAUGAUGGCAAUGGUGAGAACUACAUGGAUUAUGCUGACGGCAUGGAAGAGAUCUUUGGCUCACUCAACUCUUUGAAACUGGAAAUUGAGCAGAUGAAGCAUCCCUUAGGUACUCAGCACAAUCCUGCUCGUACCUGCAAAGACUUGCAACUCUGCCACCCUGACUUCCCUGAUGGUGAAUAUUGGGUUGACCCGAACCAAGGAUGCUCCAGGGAUUCUUUCAAAGUUUACUGCAAUUUCACAGCUGGUGGAGAAACUUGCAUCUUCCCUGAUAAGAAAUCAGAAGGAGCCAGAAUUACUUCCUGGCCCAAGGAAAACCCAGGCUCCUGGUUCAGUGAAUUCAAGCGUGGUAAACUGCUCUCCUACGUGGACUCAGAGGGGAAUCCAGUCGGAGUGGUACAGAUGACGUUCCUCAGGCUCCUCAGUGCUUCAGCACGUCAGAACAUCACUUACAACUGCUACCAGUCAGUCGCAUGGCAAGAUGCCACCACGGGCAGCUAUGACAAAGCCAUUCGCUUCUUGGGCUCCAAUGAUGAAGAGAUGUCCUAUGACAACAACCCUUACAUCCGAGCUCUCAUGGAUGGCUGUGCAACAAAGAAAGGCUACCAGAAGACGGUUCUCGAAGUCAACUCCCCCAAAGUGGAACAAGUGCCUAUCGUGGACAUUAUGUUUAAUGACUUCGGUGAAGCCUCACAGAAAUUUGGAUUUGAAGUGGGACCAGCUUGCUUCAUGGGUUAAGAGCCACCCAAAACUAGUCUCCAAAUGAGCAACCUCGUAACCUCAUUUCACCAUUUUUUUUUUUUGCGUGUUACACGCAUGUUCUGAUACUGGACAGCAAAUGGUCUCUUUUUUAAGUCCAAUCCAACCCCUCCCAAUCCACCUGAAUUCAACUGUGCCAUUGCACUCACUGUGUUGAAUCUAAAACCAAGAGAGAGAAUGAAGCAAAGAGAGAACCCCUCCCCCUAACAGGAACAGAAUCACAUGAUCUAGACAAACCAUCCAUGGCAGGCAGCCAAUCAAAAUCCAAGUACUGUACAUCCCACCAAAUGCUUGUUUCUCCAAUUUCUCUGUGGACUUUACAAUUCAUCCACUCCAACAUAUCAUAGCAAAAAAAAAAAAAUGGGGCAAAGACUUUUCUUAUCACAGCUUGCGACCGAUCAGUAUUUAUGGACUAUGUUUUGUUUUUAGAAAUAACAAAAGAAACUUGAAAAUGUGUGAUUCACUUGACAUUCAAAAAUGUUCUGAAGCAAAUUUUGUAAAGGUCAUUUCCACAAUUGUUAGUGCCUCCAUUUAUUAAAAAAAAAAAAAAUCCCCCCAAAGAUGAUAGCUAAAUGUCUUUUUGUGCAUACCUUUCCCAUGUACUAAAGGUGCUUAUAUUUUUGUAAGUUUGUAAGUAAAUAUUUGUAUUGUAGAUUAUUAUAAAUGUUAAGUAUUCCUGGCUUCUCAAUAUGCAUGCAGAUGAAACCACAAUUCCAGUGGGAAACUCUAGAAACAGGGAAAACUCGUCUGAAUGCCAUUCUUGCUCUCCAUUACUAAUUAGCAAUGGGAGCCCUCAGCUGAGAAAUUGCCCCAGAAGGGAAAAGUAUACAAGUAAGCAAGAAUUCAUGCCGGAGAGGGCUGCCCAUGAAAAAAACAAAACAAACAAACAAAUUCAUGUUGGUGCCACUGUUCCCUGAGACAUUUUCAUCAACUCUGCUUUUUAAAUGAAAAAAAAAGCAAUAAAAGAGGAACCCAAUUUCCA